rnacentral:rRNA from 1 species
AGAGUUUGAUCCUGGCUCAGGAUAAACGCUGGCGGCGCACAUAAGACAUGCAAGUCGAACGGAAGUCGUUAUAAAAGGAGAGAAGAUUUGUCGGAUUGAAUUUUAUAACAAUGGCUUUAGUGGCGGACUGGUGAGUAACGCGUAAGGAACCUACCUAUUAGAGGGGAACAACAAUGAGAAAUCAUUGCUAAUACCGCAUAUGCCAUAACUACCGCAUGGUAGAAGUGGGAAAGGAGUAAUCCGCUGAUAGAUGGCCUUGCGUCUGAUUAGUUAGUUGGUGGGGUAACGGCCUACCAAGACGACGAUCAGUAGCCGGACUGAGAGGUUGAACGGCCACAUUGGGACUGAGAUACGGCCCAGACUCCUACGGGAGGCAGCAGUCGGGAAUAUUGCGCAAUGGAGGAAACUCUGACGCAGUGACGCCGCGUGCAGGAAGAAGGUUUUCGGAUUGUAAACUGCUUUAGACAGGGAAGAGAAAGGACAGUACCUGUAGAAUAAGCUCCGGCUAACUACGUGCCAGCAGCCGCGGUAAUACGUAGGGAGCGAGCGUUAUCCGGAUUUAUUGGGUGUAAAGGGUGCGUAGACGGGAAUACAAGUUAGUUGUGAAAUACCUCGGCUUAACUGAGGAACUGCAACUAAAACUAUAUUUCUUGAGUACAGGAGAGGUAAGUGGAAUUCCUAGUGUAGCGGUGAAAUGCGUAGAUAUUAGGAGGAACACCAGUGGCGAAGGCGACUUACUGGACUGAAACUGACGUUGAGGCACGAAAGUGUGGGGAGCAAACAGGAUUAGAUACCCUGGUAGUCCACACCGUAAACGAUGGAUACUAGGUGUAGGAGAUAUUAAGUCUUCUGUGCCGUCGCAAACGCAGUAAGUAUCCCACCUGGGGAGUACGGCCGCAAGGUUGAAACUCAAAGGAAUUGACGGGGGCCCGCACAAGCAGUGGAGUAUGUGGUUUAAUUCGAAGCAACGCGAAGAACCUUACCAGGGCUUGACAUCCUACUAACGAGAUAGAGAUAUGUUAGGUGCCCUUCGGGGAAAGUAGAGACAGGUGGUGCAUGGUUGUCGUCAGCUCGUGUCGUGAGAUGUUGGGUUAAG